rnacentral:lncRNA from 1 species
ACCCCUGUACAAGCACUUCGGUGCAAGAUAAUACAAACUCUCUCCCCCCCGCUGGACGUAGGGCCUUCUCUUGCCCGAACCAGGAUAAAUCUCUGUGUCUUCUUGCAUCACCAUCUGGGAAAGGGAGCACGCAUACAAAUUUACUCGUUGGUGUGACCCCCGGUGGGGAAAACACCGACAAGGGUAUUCUCGUUAUGUGCAUCAGGUAGGAUACCCCUUACUGAUACCCUCGACACAACUAUUGUUCUAGAAUUUUGCAAGAUUUUCAAAAAAAAACUCAAAGAUUCGUUGUAUGACCCUUUCAAGUCUCUCAUUUGUGGUAUUUAUGGAUCCUCUCCAAGGCAAGUGUAAAGUAUGCCUUCUCUCUCACCCUACUUCUAAGAGGCUUAUGUGGAGCUUAUAGGUCGGAGAGACAACUCAAACCUACUUGCAUGUAUUGCAUAGUUAAACCAUGGAUCCAGAGAAACAGUCACACAAUCAAGUCAUAUGUGCAUGUGAGUGCAAUGAAUGAAAUGAGUGAUAAGAAUGAUGGUGAUAAUGAGGGGUGAUGACUGAUGGUGAAAAUCUAAUUCUACAAUUGCUCCUUGGGGAUAACAUACUUCCCUAACCUAAAAAUAAGGACUUGGCUGCUUUUUUUUUCUUUUUUGGGACUUUUGUUCUCUUUCUUUUAUUUUCUCUUUUUUUUGAAUAACCAAUCCUUUUAAUGCACUAAUAGUAGUAGGGAUUGUCAACUGAAAUAACUGGAGCUUUAUUGGAUAAGUAGAAAAAGAUAUAAUGGAAAUGAAUAUUUUUAGGUGUCCUUUCUUAGUGUAGGAGUAGAACAUUUUCUGAGUGGAUAAGGAAUGGAUGAAUGCGUACUCCUAGGAUAGGAACAGCAGAAGUGCGUGUCUUCAUGAUAGAAACAUCAUAGUGUGUAGUGCGUAUCUGUGGAUGGUACUUCUAGGAACAGAAUUAUCACAGGGAGAAUGUGUAGUGGACGUAAGUGGUUGCAUACUUCUGAGGACAGAAGUAGCUAGGAUCAAUGGAUGGAGAACACAUAAUAUUGACUUUAACCACAUGGCUAGUUCCUUAGGGUCAAUACAGCUUAACUACCCUCAAUGCUUAUUGGAUGGAAUAUAAGUGGGAGGAUUUCCUAAUCUAGUAAGCAUGAGUAUUUGGCUUUUGUAGGACUUUUGAACUCUUGUCAUAAAGGAACUGAUCAUGUAGCAAUUUAAGAUUUUCAAAUUAAAUUCUCCAGAACUCUAGCAUCUCUAGGAGUAAGAUUGACAUCAGCUCAAAACCUUCCCAUAUCAUAUCUGUCAGCUACCUAGAUUUAGAUCAAGUAUUUGCUACCCACAAGUUUCAGGCUCGAAGCAAAAUCUUAAGUCUAAACAGUUGUGACCAAAACUCGAGAAAGUACAAGGUUGAAAAUUAGGUACUUGCAAGGAAUUACAGCAGAGCAACUAUUCAUCAUCUCGUUUAAGAGUUUGUUCUAGGGGUUCAUUUUACCAAUAGAUCCAUUAAGAGCUCUCCUUAGGUAGCAAAACUAAUUAUGAAAAAUAAGUAAAGAAAUUUUUAUUGGGUUUCUAAGGAUAUUCAUCUUUUUAAUUUUAUCUUAUCACAAUGUACUGGAAAUAAAUAGAUGAGCAAGGAAUACUUAGCUCGGUAUAUGUGGGUGCUCUUCCCCAACCUGGAUGUUGACAUGGUCUGCUGAGGUUGCUGGCGGUUAGUGAAGGCAUACUGAUCCUCCUAGAGUGUAGUAGAUACUUGUUAGAAACAACACUUGAUAUGGAUAGUACUCUGACAGGGGGUAGGAUGUCCUUCUGCCUAUUAGCUCUUCUUGAUCCUUCAAAGCCUGUGAAGCUCAAAUAGACAACAAAGCUUGUGGAACUGAUUAAGCGUUAGUGAUAAACCUCUAAGCUUUGGGAGUCUAGAACUUUCCUAUACCCUCUUGUCUUUUAGCAGGAUCAAUAUAUUGUUAUACCUUUUAUAUUUAUGGUAUGCAGAUAGGAAAAUCAAUAUGCUGAAAUUUAUUUUUAUGCCACCACAGUAGAUGAGUGUGUGGGCUGUUGCAUCACACAUUAAGUACAUGGGGCUUAGCAUUUUUCUAGAUGCAAUGCAAAACAUUUUUUAUUUUCUUUUUCUAAUGCAAAAAUAAAGUAAAGUAAAGAUGCAACUAGUAAUGCAGUUAAAAAUUAAAUAUGCUAAAGGAAAAUGCAGAUAAGUACCAAGUUACCUCUUGGCGUGGCGUUCGGCGGAUUUAAGUCCUCCAAAUAGGACCUUCUUGAUUGCUCAAUGAUUGAGGGGCGCAUUGGACGACGCCACAGUUGAUAUGUCCUUUGUAUGAUUUAAUUCUGACUUUACCUUUGGUUUCCAUACAUGCCUUGCAGGUGUUGGUGACUUGGAGGAGAGUGUCUCUAGAAUCAUAUCUCUUCUUCUGCUGGUACCUCCUCCUUGACGGUGUUUUCCUGGUUAGGGUAUCGAUCUUUGAAUCUUGAAACCUCUCCUUCAUAGUCAGCCUAUCCGACUACAACAAUCUUCUUCUUGCUACAGGUACGCUGCCUUGUCCUUGACCUAUUCUUCUUGGGCUCCUCAUCAAUUAUAUAAUCACUAUUGAAAUGGUGGCGUACCUUUUUUGAGGGGAAUUUGAAAUUGAUCUCCCCUGUUCCAAUGUA